AUUGAACGCUGGCGGCAGGCCUAACACAUGCAAGUCGAGCGGAUGAAGGGAGCUUGCUCCUGGAUUCAGCGGCGGACGGGUGAGUAAUGCCUAGGAAUCUGCCUGGUAGUGGGGGAUAACGUCCGGAAACGGGCGCUAAUACCGCAUACGUCCUGAGGGAGAAAGUGGGGGAUCUUCGGACCUCACGCUAUCAGAUGAGCCUAGGUCGGGUUAGUUAGUUGGUGGGGUAAAGGCCUACCAAGCCGACGAUCCGUAACUGGUCUGAGAGGAUGAUCAGUCACACUGGAACUGAGACACGGUCCAGACUCCUACGGGAGGCAGCAGUGGGGAAUAUUGGACAAUGGGCGAAAGCCUGAUCCAGCCAUGCCGCGUGUGUGAAGAAGGUCUUCGGAUUGUAAAGCACUUUAAGUUGGGAGGAAGGGCAGUAAGUUAAGACCUUGCUGUUUUGACGUUACCAACAGAAUAAGCACCGGCUAACUUCGUG
rnacentral:rRNA from 1 species